CCUACGGGAGGCAGCAGUGAGGAAUAUUGGUCAAUGGACGAGAGUCUGAACCAGCCAAGUAGCGUGAAGGAUGACUGCCCUAUGGGUUGUAAACUUCUUUUAUAUGGGAAUAACAUGUUUUACGUGUGGGACUUUGUAUGUACCAUAUGAAUAAGGAUCGGCUAACUCCGUGCCAGCAGCCGCGGUAAUACGGAGGGUCCGAGCGUUAUCCGGAUUUAUUGGGUUUAAAGGGAGCGUAGGUGGAAUGUUAAGUCAGUUGUGAAAGUUUGGGGCUCAACCCGAAAAUUGCAGUUGAAACUGGCAGUCUUGAGUACAGUAGAGGUGGGCGGAAUUCGUGGUGUAGCGGUGAAAUGCUUAGAUAUGACGAAGAACUCCGAUUGCGAAGGCAGCUCACUGGAGUGCAACUGACACUGAGGCUCGAAAGUGCGGGUAUCAAACAGGAUUAGAUACCCCGGUAGUC
rnacentral:rRNA from 1 species